ensembl:lncRNA
AGAAAAUCAUGUAUAUGUUUUUGAGUGAUUAUCAUUUUGAUGUGUUUAGAUCAACAUUCUGCCCUGUUGAAUUCCCACAUUUCUUCUCUCCUCCAGGACUGCCACUGCAGUCUUUAUCACACAAACAGUUUACAGGGAUGGAAAAGCACAGCACUUAAGAUUCAGAGUCUCAGUCCUUUAAAGUGCUUAGAUAUAUUUUCUAAUGAUGAAAUGUGGUUGAAUCUUGUGAAAACAUUGUUCAAAUGUAUAAAUAUAGCAUUUUUAGCUCUACGUGGAUCUCUUUUCUGCUUCUUGUCUGUAUAUAUGCCAAAUAAGUUUACCCAUGGUAAUGCUUGUGGAACCAUGAAGUUUAGGCAAAGUACACAGUAUUUGUACUAGGUGAACUUCAAUUUUAAAAUAGCAGGUAUUAACACUAGGAACAGAUUAUUAUGAUUAAACAGCUCACAAAUACAAAUAUAUGUGGUCAGUGCUAUUAUGUGGAAUAACUGAACUUUGAGAGGGUAGGAUAAUUGCAAUAACCUGUCUAUCAUACAUCCCAGAAAUAAUGGGGAAAUUUUUUCAAGGAGUAGUGUUGAAUAAUCAGUGAAUUAAAAUCUGAUUCCAGAUGAGAACAAGAAGAGAUCUAUUGUCUACUUCAGCAGUUUCUUGUGAUGAGGGUCUGUGCUGAAAAUGCGGAAGAAAUCUUUCCCUAUUAUUUUUAAAUGCAUUUGCUACGGUACUCUAGACACAUCCUCGCAUAUUCUACUGCAAAUUACCAAAAGAUGUAUUUGUACCUAUUUCUUGCUUGAAUGGACAACCAAAACAUAUUUUUGGUAUGAGACAGUAGCUAGAUUGGUAUUCCAGGUGCCAUCAGAAGAUGGGUUUGAAGAGGCCUGUCAACUACUGAAGAAGUUUAACUGUGGUCACACAGAACUGUGGGAUAUUUUACUCUACAUCUCUGUGAACUGCAGAGAAAAUGCUUCUGGCAAUUAAUCUCAGUUAAAGUUGACUUGAGCAUCUCUAAGCUAUGGCAGUGUGUGUCUAAUCAUACUCUGCGGUCACUAAAAAUCUACCAGUAUUUGGUAGGACACUUCAAAAGAGCAUGGAAUACUUCAUUCCUUGGCCAGUAGCCAUCAUGUCUCAGUACUUAAACCUAUGUGCAGCUCUGUUGUUUUUGUUCACAUGGGGCUAGCAAGUGUUUGUUCUGGUUCGAGUCCAUAAAGUUUGCACAUUUGAGUUUCAGUUUGAGGUUUUGAGUUCAGUGAAACAUCAAGUCUUGCCUGGCUUUUGGGUUGAAACCUCAAGCCUAAUGAUAAUGUUUUCUCCAGCUGCAGAUUUUGAAGUGAGGGGUCAUUGAAAAACAAACCCCAAGCCCUAAUACUUGCUGAGAACCAUCAAAUGGACCACUCUCUGCAGAAUUUAGCAAUUGUAUUUUUCUGUCAAAAUUAGCAACACUAUUUUACUGAUAUGCACAUUACUGGUGACAUUCUGCUUCAACUGAAGUUAAAGUAUUCCUGUUUUUUCCGUUCCUCCUUCCUGGACAGUGCUGUUUAGUCCUACACAGCGGUGGCAGUUCUUGGGUACAAUACAUGAGAAGUUAAUGGUUUGUGAAACCGUUGGCCAGGUUCUUGUUUAAAUCCUGUUACUUUUGCCCAGUUUAUGCAGUGCCAGUUCUGUGCUUAACCAGUGUGAAGCUCUGCUUGCUUUGAUUUAAGGAUGUGAGCCCCAAAAGGGACUUUUCACAAAGGGUAAAAUGGGUGCUCAAAAGAUGAUUAGAUAACUGGUUGCUAACACUUGAGGUCUUGAUCCCUUUAGCAGUGCAACUCUCCCUCAGUUGGGAUCUAGUAUUUCAUUUUCAGUGAAAUUCAAUGAAUCUUAGACUCAUAGGGGUCUAUGUUAUAGUGGUACUGUACCAAGCAGAUAAUUAGCCAUACAAAGAAGCAUACCAAAUCUGGUUGAAAAGCACCUGAAAAUCAUUCGCCAGUGUUCAGUAGCCUUUAAGGAAUCACAGAAUGGCUUUGGUUGGAAGGGACCUUACAGAUCAUCUAGUUCCAUUCACUCUGCCAUGGGUGCAGUUGCCACCCACUAGAUCAGGGGCUGCCCAGGGUCCCAUCCAACCUGACCAUGAACACUUCCAGGGAUGGGGCACCUACAGCUUCUCUGAGCAGCCUGUGCCAGAACCUCACCACCGUCUGAGUAAAGAAUUUCUUUCCAGUUUCUAAUGUAAAUCUCCCCUCUUUUAAUUUAAAACCAUUCCCCCUUGUCCUGUCACUAUCUGUCCAGGUGAAAAGUUGGCUCCCUGCUGUUUAUAAACUCCCCUCAAGUACUGGAAAACUGCAAUUAGGUCUCCCCAGAGCCUUUUCUUAAGUUGAACAAGCCCAGUUGCCUCAGUCUGUCUUCAUACGAGAUGCGCUCCAGCCUUCUGAUCAUCUUUCUGUGCAUCUUUUUUGUGCUGGGGUCCUUUUGUCCUGGGUGCAGUGCUCCUGGCAGGUCCUUAGGAGAACAGAGCAGAGGUGGACAAUCACCUCCCUCUCCCUGCUGGCCACCCCUCUUUUGAUGCAGCCUAGUAUACAAUUGGCCUUCUGGCCUGCAAGAGCACACUGCUGGAUCAUGUCCAGCUUUUUGUUUGACAGAACCUCCAACUCCUUCUCUGUGGGGCUACUCUCAGUGUGUUCUUUUCCUGUUCUGUACACAUAUCUGGAAUUGUCCCAAACCAAGUACAGCACUUUUCACUUCACUUAGCUGAAUCUUAUUUGGUUCAUGUGAGCCCACUUCUCAAGCUUGUCCAGGUCACUGGGGUCAUGAACUGUUCUUAUUUUGAUCUCCUUGCAUAUAAAUCUAAUUCUAAUUGUCAAUCUAGAGUCUACUCUAAUGAUGACUUUCACUUCUAAGAUUGUUCCCCGUGGACAAUUUCAAAUCUAAGGUAGCUAAGUGCAUUGUUAAGUCAGCAUGAAUAUGCACUAAUAUGAAGCAGGGUGAUGAAAUGUUUGAGAACAGAUCUUCAAAUGCUGGCACCAAACAGCUGCAGGGAAAAAUUCUGUUGAUUACCUGUGUCAAGGUAGCAUCCAAAAUAAGCCCAGAUCUUUCCAUAUCUUCCCCUGGCACUAGUGGUGCCAUCCAGAACUUACUGCCUCAGAUCUUCAAUGUGGACAACUUCCUUCUUUUCCAUUUGCUGUAUGGAAGGGGAGAAUAUAUACUGUGGAAGUCAAUCGAGAGAGUCAUUUUAGACAGGUAAUUUUAGUCUGCCUGUGAAUUACUUCAAGAUUUGACAGUACUGCAUGGAGGAAGGUGUCUAUUCUAGAGAUUUAGAGUUUGUUACCCAUGCUGUUAUUAAAGAAUUUAACUGAGAGGUUAUCUGAAGGGAUCUCAGUGUAAGGAUUAGAUUUUUCAGCUCUGUGUGCUUGCAGAAGUCUUUCACAAGGAGCUUUUCUUAAUCUAAGUCUUUUACAUUUCUAAAGAAAUGAUGACUUCUAUUUCUCUUUGUAAUUCUUGUCUUUUUCCUUCUUUCCCUUUCUUUUCAUUUGCAUCUACUGUAGAUGUGUAUCUCUAGGUUGUAUUUAAAGGUACAUACAUCGUGUACCUACAUAGCAAGUUUUUCACAAUUUUUUUACAUUUAUAAAUUCUGUAGGGCCCCUUUUUCAGGUCUGUUUAAAAAAUGUAUCCUGUAUUGUUUAUCCUGAGUAAACUGGCACACUCCAGCUUCUGUUGCUUUGACCUUAAUUUUGACUUCUCAGGGUAUCAUAGAAUCAUAGAAUGGCCUGAGUUGAAAAGGACCUCAAAGAUCAUCUAGUUUCAACCCCCCUGCCAUGGACAAGUUUGCCAAGCACUAGACCAGGCAGCCCAGAGGCACAUCCAGCCUGGCCUUGAAUGCCUCCAGAGUAACUCAGGUUUUGCAUACAUCUGGGCUGUGUUUUUUUCUCCUGCUUUUCAUAGCUAUCACACAUACGAGAAAAUGAGACUUGUCAUGGCUUUUGUUGCUGUCUUAGCUGUUAGGUUAAUACUUGAGCUGGAAGCACCCAUAUAUCAAAACAGUUCUCACGUGAUGGCAAUUUGGAGAUGCUACUGAUUUGAACAGAACUUGGCAAACUGAAUAAGAAAUGAAAAGUCUCUUCAUUCCUUGACUCCUUUAUUUCUCCUCUCCUGCUUCAGUGUUAAAUCCAGAAGUGUAUGCAACUCAUUGUUUCCCACUAGUAGUGCAGAGAAGGUUCUGUAUGUAAGAAACUGAGAAAGAACAUGUUUUUCCUGCACAUCUAUUUUCCCAAGGAAGGAGGUGCAGCACUGGAAGAGGUUACUCAGAAAGGUUAAGUAGUCUUCGUCCCCAAGGGUUUUCAGGACGUGGCUUGGAGAAAUCAUGGCUGACCUGGUGUAAUUUUGGCAAUAGCUAUGCUUCAAGCAGAGAGCUCACUGAGUGACCUCCAGCACAUCCGUGUAACCAACAUAUCUAUGAUUCUAAGUCAGAACAGAUAAAUGGGCUACCAAGUGGAAAAAAUUAUCAGCUCACGAAGUCCUCACAAUGCUCCUGUGGUCUGAGGUCCCUUCCAACCCAGGCCAUCCUAUGAAUCUAUGAUUCUCAGUCUGAGAAACUAAUGAGAAUGGACAAGAACCUAUUUUCAGGCAUACUAUCAUAGAAUCAUAGAGUGGUUUGGGUUGGGAGGGAAGAUCAUCUAGUUCCACUCCCCCCUGCAAUAGGCCUUCCACUAGACCAGGUUGCUCAAAGCCCCAUCCAGCCUGGCCUUGAACGCCUCCAGGGAAGGGACAUCCACAACCUCACUGGGCAACCUGUUUCAGUGUCUCACCACCCUCCCAGUAAAGAAUUUCUUCCUAAUAUCUAGUCUAAAUCUACCCUCUUCCAGUUUAAAAUCAUUUCCCCUUGUCCUGUUGCAAUAUUCCCUUAUAAAAAGUCCUUCACCAGUUUUCCUGUAGGCCCCCUUCCAGUACGAAGAUUCUCAACUCUCAGCCUGUCUUUGUAGGGGAGGAGCUUCAGCCCUAUAAUCAUCUUCGUGGCCUUCCUCUGGACCUGCUCCAACAGCUCCACAUCCUGCUUGUGUUGGGGGACCUAGAAUUGGAUGCAGUACUCCAACUGGGAUCUCAUGAGAGCAGCAUAGAGGGGCAGAAUCACCUCCCUUGACCUGCUGGUCACGCUAUAAUUGCUAUAGUUUAAGAACAAUGAGUGUGGUCAUCAGGACAGCUCCUUGUAAUCCAAAGGCCUGAAGAUACUUAUUGCUGGUCUCAGUCCCUGCCUUGGUAAUGUUGGUAAUGCUUCUCUUUUAGACUGCAAAAACACCACCUGAAGCCUUUAUUCUCCAGAUUAGCUGACACUACAUCAAAAAUGCAGUACUGUAGCCAUUAACUAUAGUCUGAGUUUGGGUGUGGCAAUAUCUGUUUUCCAGCAAAGACUUGACUAUACUGAUACUGUUACAUCACAUGUGAAAAUGCUCUAGGAUGACUACGGAAACCCUUUGUAUAUAUGGCUGUGGGACUCUCCUCAACAUCGGCAUCCUGCUGAGAGCAAACACUGUAACUGGAUUGUAUGUGUAAUUUAGGUCAUAGGUACAGCCCAUUGAAAAACCCCUUUCUGGUAGGAGCCAAUGAGAUCAAGCCUUGUGCAAAUUUUUUGCAAUGUGCUUUUGUGCGAGCAGUUGGUAAGGCUGAAAUCAGCAUGAAGGAACAUCGGGUUCUGCUCCUGUCACACUUUCCCACCUGAGUGCCUGGCACCUCUCUAUUCUGCGGAAUUCUGUGCUUGAUCUCCAGCUCAUAAACUUCAGAGCUCGCAAUGGGAUCCUGUGUGAAACAGCUGUGUGAACUCAUGGCAGCUAUCAUUUUCCAUUUCUCUUACACCGUGUACAGUUUCAGUGUAGAUUGCUGGGAGCGUAGCGUUGCAAGGUGGUGCCUGGGUUUUGCAAACAAAGGAGAUAGAGGACUCUGUGCCACCUGCUCUGUCGUUUGAACAAAUGUUAGGAGCCAAACAAGCUACAAACUACUAGCUGUAUUUGUUGAAUGAGAACUCUAUGCAGCAACAAUUCCAUCGAUCAUCAAGGUCAGCUUUUCUGCUUUUGUUUCUCAAGCUAACCAGUCCCUCAGUCCCACGCUCCUAUAGGCAAGAUGGUGAAGCAGCCAAGGAUGUUAACUGCUCGGUGCCCUGACAGAGCAUAGCACUGCAGAGCUGUUGGGGACUGCCUGGGGUAUCCUGCUUUGACUACGUUUAACAGCGUGGCACAACACCUCUGCAGGGAUUGGCAGGCAAUACUGUUUGCUUAUUGACUUGGACUGAAAGCUUUGGAGUCAGCAACGUUAGGAAAGCGCUGUCACUGACUGCAAACCAGGCAGAGCUCUUCAUGUCCAUAAAUGAGGGAAAAACCUUUCUUCUCACUUUUUUGUGAUUAUUUUGUGGGACGGCACUUUUUCUAAAAUCACUGAUUUUGGAAAUGAUGAAUGCCCCCUCUGUUCCUCACCAUAGUCGGUCUUGAGUGUGAGGCUGAGUGGGAAAAGGAGCAGUCUUGGCAAACAGCUUUUUAGUCUCCAAUAAAUUAUUCAGAACGCAGGUUUGGGCACAGAUUGUGGGGAACGAUAAUGGAGCUGGUUUUCAGAGCCUGUUCAUGUUAUGAAGACAUGGAGUAUGCUUUUCAGGAAUUCACUUAAGUGAAAUCAGCUUUGCAUAACGUAGCCUGGAAGUAAUAUUGCUGCCAUCCAGCUAGUGUCUGCGGAACAGCAUUCUCCUGCCUCGCAAAGCACUGGUGUUGAAGACAAGAGAUAGGGAGAUAUUUAUUUUGUGGGUUUUUUUUUUUUUUUCCUUUUUUUUUCUUUUAAAGGGAAAUUCUUUCUAACCACUAGAGAGGGACAUGUUUCGGUCGAGAUUUUUCCCCCCCGAGUGAAAUAGUGGACCGCAUCAGCAUCCGAUUUGGGUGCAUCAUGUGGUUUCUCAUGUGAUGCUGGUCUUGCUGCGCUUUGGAGGGUGAGCCUUUGUGACUCCACUCUUGGACAGUAACAUCCAGCAAUAUAGGAGACUUUGGGGAGGGGGGGGAAAGACACCCCCCUAGGAAAACCCCAAAGCCCAGAAAAUAAAGUUACAGCCCUUUAUUAUAGUCAUAAUUUCUUCUUAACUAUUUUGGCUUCUAUUUUUAAUUCUGGGUCUUCCCUCUUCUCCGUUCCUGCAGGCAUGAAGCUGCACUGUUCAGAAGAAGCAAGAUUCUUUCCUCACAGCUACGGCACUGCGACACAGCCUGCUUUUUCGCAUUUACCUGGGUGGCUGCUGCUGGUUCUGCUGCUGCUGCUGCAGCCUCGCUGCCUGCGCUUCACCCCAGCUUGGCUGAUGCGAGCCUCCCUCGUCUGCACAUUGCUAAGGAAGAGAAGCGAUGGAGCCGCAAUUUUUUUGUUGGUUCUGGAAGCAAAGGGUUGUGAUGUGGGGUUGUUUGGGGGUUUUCUUUUUUUUUUUUUUUUUUGGUGGGGAGAGAAAGGAGGGAUGUUAAUCUAGGGUGGAGUGGGUAAAAGCUUAAAGAAAUAUGAUGAAAAGUAAUCCAGUGCUCAACAAGGGCAUCAGCAGCAAGAAUCCAGCCUCUGCUGCUCCAGAGGAUUAAGAUGGGGAAAGCCACAGAACUGCAGUCGAGUUGCACCUCAGCGUUGUUCUGGAGAUGGAUAAACAAGGUAUUGGUCGUAUCUGCCUGCUAAGGCAAAGCCACGGGAGGAAGAGCGAGCGAGAGAGUGCGUGCAAAUGCAGUGGAAGAAGGAACGCUGCGUGCUGUUUGUCUGAUUCUGUGCAUUCUCAGUGUGGAGAGGAUGGUGUGAUUAAGAAAACAAUGUAUGGAUAGAGGCACUAUGAAUUGUAGCUCGAACACUCCUGAUGCUGUCAGGGAGGGAACUGAUGAGCUAGGUGGCUGCAGCAGUAUCCCCAGGGAAAACAGCGGCCAUGCUGUGUAUGUAUGUGCUUAUGUAUGUGUGUGUGCUUAUGCGUGUGGGAGCAUGUACAGACAUGAAAGAAAGACAUUUCUGACCAAUUUACAGAGGAAGCUUGUCACUUUGAUGGUCAGCCUUGAUUGCAGCUUGUAUUUUCAGCUCUAGCUCUACACCCAAUUUCUGAGUGAGGCAGCACUUUGCGAAUGCAGAUGUAGGCAGGAUUCUUCUAAGAAAUAUGAAAGCAGAUCCUUUCUGUUUAACACCUUGGAGCACUGAAUUUUCUGCACUGUGUUGAGAGAAGCUAAGGGGGAGGGGAUCAUUUUCUCCAUCUUACAAUCUUUAUGAACACAGCUAUAUUCAGUACGGCAAAAAAAUUCUAUGUUCUAAAUAGAAAUGUGAUCAAUCUAAUCAAAAUAAAUGCAUCCCAGAUGACUUCUAGACCAGCUGGCUACCACAGUCAUCAGAUGGCUAAAUGCUCAACUGAGCAUUUAUAGUCAGGAUUAUAUUUCUUUUUUCUUUCUUUCUUUCUUUUUUUUUUUUUUUUUUUAGAAUUUUAAAAUCAGCCUCUAAUUAAAAAAUGAUUAUUCCUCUAUUAAAAGAGACAGCAGCUAGCAGCAGAUUUUUCUGAAAUGUACCUGUUUGGUUUUGUUUUUGUUUUUUGUCAUUGUCAUCUGAUUGGCUUGGGCUCUUUUUGUUUAUCUGUUUGGUUUAUAUUUCUGCGCAUGCAUUGAGGAGUCCAUGCUUUUAGAACAGGGAGACUUGUCACAGUGCUUGGCAUACUGAGUUCAGCUGGCAGCUCAGGUUGCCCAUAGCUGAACAAUGCAAAAAUAGGGAAAACAAGUACUGCAGUCAGCUAGUGGGGUUUGGCAUGGCUUUUAGCAGCUGCCUACUGAGAAAGAGGUUUCUUUUUUCUAUUCUUUUUUUUUUUCCCUUUUAUACAAAUCCGUAGACCAUAAUGUCAUCCUAAAAUGCGUACGGGGGGAUUUCCCAAUAGUCAUGGUGGGCUACCCUGCAAGAUGCCUGUCUGGCCCUUCCACUGUUUGUUACCCUGUCUACAAAGGCUGCCCUGUGUGUUGGAUUAUAUUUAGCCAGCUGCUGGGUAACAUUCUUGUGCUGGGGGCAGAGGAGUCUUAUUACUCCCAUACUGUAGUUUUGUGUUUUCUUAAAGAAAAAUAACCUUGGCAAUACAGCAGGCUCUGAAAAGAAGUGUAUACCACUCCUGCACCUUUCUGAAACUGCUGUGCUUCUAACUCAGGCUGUUUUAAAGCAAGCGAGCAGGAGGAAGAGUGGCUCUUAGCUCAUAGCUUCAAAGCUGCAAAAUGUCAGCAGCUUGUAAUUAGGAACCCGUGGUUACGUCAGGGACUGUAUCUCUCCAAGAAUAGCUGUGUGAUGUGUGCCACAAAGCAAAGGAAGGCAGUCAUAACCUGGUUCUCGAGCCUGCUUUGAACAACAGAGCGAAAUGGAUUAAUGAAUCAGCUGCAUUCGUAAAUCAGAGCUGGAUGGCUUACACGUAUGAGACUGGCUGCACUCUGCAAAAGUGAAGACUGAAUUAUCGGUUUGUCAGAGGGCACACGUUCACCGAGUGGAAGUGUGAAUCCUUCGGAAGAAAUGCAGACAAGCCAUCUGUCCUAGGAAAUGUCAUUCCCGUCUCCAUCUUGCACAGGCAGCUGCGUGCCACGAGGCAUGGGAGGGAGCGACUGGCCAGCCGCACCAAGGUGUUUAAAAGCACGCAUAAAAUUAAACACAAAGAGCCAGCACACCAAAACUCGGCUCUGGCGUUGCAGAUUUGAUGCUGAAAUACCACCCCAGUGCAGACCUACUGCGCUCAGGUGUGGUUUCUAUUAAGGCUUCUCUGGUUAAGGGAUGGUGCAAAAAAAGCCUUAGCGCAACAUCUUGCAGCCAAACGUGGUCCUGGGGGUGUACUGGGAAUGCUGCGGCGCUGGGCUGCCUACUCCACAGGGACCUGCCUGGAGCUUUCUGAUCCCUGCUGUUGUUUUUCGGUCUGGGCUGGCUGCUCCACAGCACUUAAGCGGUGAGAUUGCAGGGGUGCUUACCCUGCUCUGACCGGCCUUUCCCCGUGCUGUGGCUGGAGAUGUUUACACGGCUUUUAUCGACAGCCCUUCACCAGUCAGUGUGCAUUGCUGCCUGUUUUUGGCAGCCUGGCGUGGUUCCUUGCUCGCAGCACAAGUCAGCUGCAGUUCUGCUCUUUGUGCUGCUCUUUAAUUUACCAGGAUAGGUAGAUUGUAUUAUGCAAACAGUGGUUGUGGGUUCUGUUUUUUUUUUUUUUUUUUUUUUUUUUCCCUGACCGUGAACACAAAUUUGUAGGAGGAGAUGACUCUGUAUAUUAAACCAAUAGCUCUUUGAAUUGUGUGUAGUAUAAUUUAAAUAUACUUACUUUAAUUAGUAGGAGCUUACAAAAGCCGGCAUUGUCUGGGGCUGUUUAAUUUACAUCGCGGCCUCUGUCAAUGAGUGCAACCUGCCUGAACAGAAUGGCGUAUUCUGCACAGCCGGCAGGGUGGAAGGCGUUACUUUGUUUGUGUUCCUUCCAACAGCUGGUCAUUAAUGCAGGCCCCAUCUCCAGAGUGAAGUGCCGGUGGACAUGAAUGGCCGCCUGAUUAAUGCUGCCCCUCGAUGGCUCCUUCUUCCAGCAGUGAUGCUCGCAGCAGAAUAAUGCAGCGUGAUUUGAUUGCGCUCUAACAGGGCAGUAUGUCAUUGUGUCACCAAGCAAUUGAGGUUAUUAUGGGGCAGGGCAGACAGACGGGACAGUGGGGUUACUAGACCGUGGCAUUUUUAGAAAUGCAGGCCUGACCUACUUAGAGUUAUUCUUGCUGGCUGGCAGCUGCAUGGUGCAUGGCUUGUCCUGAUAGGCUGAGGCUGUUGCUAGGGGGAAUUAGCAUGAAUUUUUCCACAUACAGACUCAGUGAUUGAAUGAUAAAAGCUGACUGGAAUUAAAGAGAUUCGGUUCAGUAUUAUGCAGAUUUAUCUCCCUUGUUUUUUCCUCUCUCAAAUGCAUAAAAAAGGAGCAGAAGACAGUUUGUUUCCAUUCAUUUUUGACCUAUUUUUUUUCCAGAGGAGGGCAGAAGCACUGUGAAUUUUUGAUCAUUUACUAUUUAAGUCGCUGAAAUGAUAUGACAGUGGGCAUGCAUCUUUAAUGUAUAGGAGAUUCAAAUUCCUUCUCUCAGAAGGGAAUGAAAUGAAUAUAGUUUAUACACUGAUCAGACCAUCGCCUUUAUUUAUUUAUUUAUUUAUUUAUUUAUUUAUUCUCUAUUUGAAACUAUGUCAGAUUCUCUCAUCUGGAAAGGGAAAACGUACACCAGGUUUUAUUGCAUAACUUCACUCUUGGCUAUUUUUAGCUAUCUGCACUUUACAAAAUUAGUCCUGUUUGUGUGGCUGGAUGAAAUGAAUCCCCAGACUGUGCCUCCUGUAUGCAGAUACACGCACCCAGGAUGUGCUGUAGUGUGCCGUGUUCAUCUGAAAAGAUGCGCACACACUGCAGACAUAGCAGCUCUGCCUGUUGGCGGAGAACUGACGACUGGCCUUUAAGCUGAUUGAUUAGAUAACCUCUUGUGCAUUUUGAAGUAUUUUUCCGGCUUCAGUUUGAAGUUUGAUUCUCUUGAUAGCACUUUUUUAUUUAUCUACAUCUGCUUAAAACAGUCAUGUUUUUUCAGAGAAUUCUGUGUUCCCUCUGGAAGCAAGUAAAAACAAUACUCAGUGAAGACUUCUUUGAUGUAAUUAUGGAUAUUUCCUUUGUUAUUAUCACUAAUUAUAAGAUAUCUUCGUCCAAACCACAGUACCCCCUGUGUGAUCCUUUACCAUGCAAAAGGAGUUACAAUUUAGUGCUUAUGAUUUUAAAAGGGUUUUCAUGGCAACACCUCCUGACAUCACACUCAAAGAAUUGUGACUUUCCAGCAUCUGGGAAUGAGGGAGAGGGACUCUGAAGUUUUUGUAUUUGCCAAAUGAGUGUGUGACUCAUUGCUGAAAAUUGUGAGCUCAUUUGAGUUUCAUGUGAAAUACCUGGAUGAAUGAGACACUUCUCAGAGCAGUAUCUGUCAGGAUGGCCAGAAUUACCCCUGGAGUUUCCUGGCCUCCUGCCUCAGCUCAUGAAGUUUCUCUGGAGGGUUUGAAGGUGAAUCAGUUAAACAUGGAGACAUACAUCUGAGUGCAUUUUGUAGUCUAGGCAAAAGCAUUUGAUUUGUACAGAUUUGAAUUUUCUGUGUCUCUUUUCCUGUUGGUCAUUUACUACUGAAGCACAUAGCUCUUCCCUGUCUCUUUCUUCCUGACAGCUUUGUGGAUUGACAGACUUGUGGAGGCAUGAAAGUGAAGAGAGGCUUUAUUGGAAACCCAGAGGUUUCUCCUUCUGGCUGUGUUCUCACCAUCUGUCCAGAUGUAACUCCAGCAAGUGUAACUGUGAUGCAGGUCCCACUUCCCACAGCAGGAACCACUCCUCCCAGUAUUCUCUUGAUCAAAGCCCUAUUUCUUGAUCUGCUUUCUUGUGGGAUGCUGUCAGUGGCUUUGGCUUUGCACCUGGGCUACCAUUUUCACUUUGGCAUGUCUUCCAAACCUCCUUGAUGCUGUGUUUUCUGCUGUUUCCCCUCAUGCUCCCACUUGCAUUCCAUGUGAUAAACCUGUUUUAGUGAUGAGAGAGAAGGAUCAGGUCGCGGAGAGGUUUACUUUUGGGAGGGUAGGCAAUGGCCAGGCUUUGUUUGGAAUUGUCUUUUAAAGUUCUCACCCUCAUUGAAUGUAGCCAGUCAUAGUUUCACCCAGUUGACUUGCAACAUCAGCUAACUUGGACAUCAGCAAAUCAAAACUACCGUACCAUAUUACAUUAAUUUCAGUGGAAACAUAUUUUUUAGAAAAAUCAUAAUCAUGGAAUCAUAGAAUCACUCAGGUUGAGAAAGACCUUAAAGAUCAUCGAGUCCAACCAUGACCUAACCAUACUACCCUAACAACCCUCUGCUAAAUCAUGUCCCUGAGAACCACAUCCAAACGAUUUUUAAACACAUCCAGGAAUGGUGACUCAACCACCUCCCUGGGGAGCCUAUUCCAGUGCUUAACAACCCUUUCAGUAAAGUUUUUCCUGAUAUCCAACCUAAACUUACCCUGGUGCAACUUAAGGCCAUUUCCCCUCUUCCUGUCACCUGUCACCAGUGAGAAGAGACCAACCCCGCUCUCUCUGUAGGCACCUUUCAGAUAUUGGAAGAGAGGUCUCCCCCCAGCCUUUUUUUCCCCAGACUAAACAGCCCCAGUUCCUUCAGUCUCUCCUCACAGGGCAUAUUCUCCAAGCCCUUCACAAGCCUUGUUGUCCUUCUUUGGACCUGCUCCAGCACCUCCAUGUCCUUUCUGUACUGAGUUGUAAUGAGUUGAGUAUCAUCUUAUUUUGGCAUAUUCAUGCUAAGAGCGAGCCCAGAGGAAGGCAAGAAACAAUAUUAAGCAUAUAGUCUAUGGAAAAGAAUUAUAUCCCUGAUAUUUGUUUGGGAUUUCAGUACAGUGAACGUUUAUAACAGACAUCAAGUCAGUCAGUUUUAACAAACUGUCAAGUGACAUAUUAAAUAUGAAAAAUGCAGUGCACCAGAAAUUGUACUCAACAUUAGGUUACUAUUCUGCAAGUCACUUUAAAGGAAAUUACCUCAAAUAAAUUAAUGUGUGAAUUGUCUGAUCAUAAUGCCUGGGAUAAUUAUAAGUAGCAGAAAUGUGGAGUUAAUGAAACAGAAACAAAAUCUAGCUCUUUCUAUGUAUGUGUUUAUAAAGCAUAAGAAUCAGGGCACCAGAAGAGUUUGAAAUAUAUGUCUGUUGAAAAUACAGUCAGUUGUGUACAUUCCUUCAAAAAGCAUGUUAAGAAUUUUCUGAUUGUCUCCUCUGAGGUUUCUACUGUUGUAACAACUCACACCUCCCACCCAGAAGUUGCUUACCUACAAAAGAUUGUGUUGUAUUGUUCAGCAUUUUUGUACCAUGACCUCUCCUGUGAGCUGUGAAAGAUCUAUUGUGCUGUGUUUCAUUCUCUAGGGUGGCUAAGCGAGUGCUGAUUUACAAGUAGCAUAUGCAGACAAUUUUUUCUUCCAAUCAAGGAUCCAAAAUCCUACCACUAUUUGAGUUGGCUGUGGUGGUCAGUGUAUUCCUCACCCAGGAGUCUUGGCUGGUUGUGCACUUUGUGCAUUUUGUGAUGUCAUUCAGCUUUCUGGUUUUCUGAAAAGGAGCAGAGGAUGCAGGAUAUAGAAUGGCACAUCUAGAUUCCCAUGAAGGGAUAAUGGCAGCAAGGAGUGAGCUCACUUCCAGACUUUACCUCCUGCCAGGACCUUUAAGAUCAGUUUUUUUCUGCAGCAAAUUUGUUUUGGUUCCAAUUUCAAACCCAAAGUAGGAGGAAGUGUAUUAUAUUUCUUAAAAAGUGGCAGUUGACGCAUUCCUUCUACUGCAGUACAGGAGGGAAUACAAAUGUUUUACAAAUUAAAAUAAUCCUUACAGUAUUUUUUUUCCUGUGAUCCACUAAGAUGGAAACUAAUUCUGUAACAUUACCUUCAGCCAGGAGCAGCAUUACUGUGGCUCCCACAUUCAUAUUUUUCCUGCAUGUGUGCGCCUAUAUACUCGGAAAUACUGUACACACAUUGUGUGUAUAGUAUAUAUACAAAAGACACAGUAUAUAUAUACUAUACAUAGUAUAGUAUAUAUAUAAAAGACACAGACAAUUUACACAAGUGCAGUAUUGGAGCAUACAUUAUAAUGUGUAAUCACAGUUACCUCAGAUUAAUACCAGAACUGUGCUUCCAAGUGUUCAGUGCUGGCUUGUUUAUGGUGAAAGCAUCUUGACAUACAAUUCGUACCAUUUCAACACAGAGCAUAACCAUCACAUUAAUCCUGUCAUCCCAUUCACCACCACCACCGACAAAUGAUGCUGUGUAAUAGAAAGAUACCAAAAAGGGGACAUUAUGGUUAAAAUUACUGUAUAAUUAGAUAGGUGGAUUUCAUAACCACUUUUCAUUUUUUGUAGUCACAAGUGAUGUAAAAUGAAAUGUUUGAUAGCUGUUUAAGACAGAGAGACAAUUUUUUUCUUAUUGUUAAUUCUUCCCUACUGCUCUUAGGUCACACCUGUUUCAAAAGUGAGUCCAGACUUAAAUCUUGACAGAGAUCAUGACCUUACUUCAACCAAUGGCUGUUUUAUCCUGGCACUCAGUGGGACCAGUCUGUUUGCUCGAAUGCAGUACUUACGGAGAUAGAGUUGCUGAGAGAAUGAGAAGACAGUUUGGGCCACAGUCAGAAUUUGAUCAAGACUUGGGAAUUUUGAGGUUCAGACUUGUGGGCUAAAUGCAUCUCUACCCAGAAUAAGAUUACAGUCUGUGAUGAAGUAUGUUUUCAAUUAUACUCUGUUAGAAAAGUAAUGUGAAAUUUAUCUUAAGUUGUCACGGUGCUUCAAAGCAUGGGCUUUUCUCUUUCUAAGUCCUUGAACAAAUGCAGGAUGUGUUGAGGCAAAACUGUUUCCAAUUAAGUUGAUGCAUAAUGCUCUUUAAUGUUUCAGGACUUCAAGUUUAACUUAAAGAAAAAUGCUUUAGCCAGAGUUCAGAAGGAUAAUUCAGAUAAAAUUUCCUGGAAAGAAGUCAUUUGCCUGAACUCGUGUGGCUGCAGUAUGUUGGGAGCUCAGUUAGCACAGUGUGACACAUAGCUAUGAAUCUCAUCACAACCAUGCUGACAAAUGUAAAGAUGCAACUCUGUGUUACAUUACUGCGUUUUUAUUCUGUAUUGAAGAACCAACUUCAGCUCCCUUGUCAAGUAAGGGGCACUUAAAGCAUAUACUGAAUUAAGAGAAAUAAAAGUGAUUCCAGGAAAUGCCUGAGCUGCUUGCAUCCUGUAUAAAUUUUUUUGCUGCCUUAAGUGUGUGUUGUUCAGAAGAACGAAUUUCUGGUGUUCCAAGGCUUGUUUUUUUUCUGCCCAUCUGAAACAUCCCUGUUCAUCACUCAUCAUCCUGUGGAGUGCUAGCCUGAAAACUUAUGUCACGCUCAAGAUUAACAAGGGAUUAAGAGUGAGCAAUGGAUUUUCCAGGACAUGAUGUGGCCUGCUGCUACUUUCUGCUUGCCUGAUUGCCUGCUAAAGUCCAUUCCUCUUGGCACUGCUUACACCAGCUCCAGCUGCUCCACGUUGCUUUACAGUAUCAACAUCUACCUCCUCAAAUUUGGAAGACUGGUCACCCUUUGUAGUACUGCUGUGUGGAUGAAUCUUAAUCUUCUUGAAAGUAGGAUAUUAAAGAUGAGAUAAGCCCUGGUAUCUAGAAGUAGUAUAUACUGCAGUCCUAUGAGACACAUAGAUAGAUAGCCAGAUAUAAUCUUUCUCCACUGGAUAUCUUGUCCUUAGAACUAUUACCCUGGAAACACUCCUUAAUAUUUCAAAUCACAUACCCCUUUUCUUAGGUAUAUUCUAUUUAUCAGACAUAGCCUAGCUACAGAAUGGCCAAUGCUGUUGAGCUCUCAGUCUUUGUAAAAAUGGAUUUUCAUCUUUUGUACAAGCUUGUAUUUUGCUAAACAAUUAAAUAAAAACAAAACACAACAAAACAAAACCUUGUAAAUACCAACCUGUUAGGACUGAUCUGUCUAUCGAUCAAUGAAGUGUUAAAAUCCACCACAGGAACUAGUCCCAGUACGACUUGAUACUUCACUCUGAAGCAGAAGUACUUUCAAAAACACAAAUAUCUGGUUUAUUCCCAAAAGCUCUUUUUUCUGGGUCAAUCCCAUGUUUCUUAAAUACUGUCAUGACAUUGAGGGGAAAGCUGUGUGCAUGUGAGAAGUCGGAAGCUUUGACACAUUAGGCAAACAAGAAGUCAGUUUAGUAUUGUGCAUUAAUGAAAGAGAAUGAAAAUAAAAAUCAGCUGAAAGCAAAUCCCACCUGCAAACCACUUCAGCAAGGUGUAUGAAGCAAAGGACAUCUGUGACCACAAUGUCAUACACUGAGGCAUUAUGGCUUCACACUGCAAUCUGCCUCUGAGCAGUCAUUUGAUAACACUGCAAUCCAGGAAUGCAGCUGUUCCUUUCUGCAAAUUUAAUGAUCCACAUAUCUUAAAAGGCAUUUUCUUUCAUAUUUUUUUAUUUACUUCUUUUGUGUUAUGUUUUGUAUCAGUGAAGAUAGAACAUUACACAGUCAUCAGGGAAAUUAUGUUUUUCCUUUUUUUUUUUUUUUUGAUCAUUCAAGACUUAUAUUCACAGUAAUGAGGCUUCCAGGUUUGUGCGGCUGUGAGAUGAACUGCAUUUUGCAUCACUGUCUUCACCUUCAUGUCUGGGGUUGUUGCCUUCACCUUCCUCCUGAUACUAGCCCUGAGGCACAUGUUAUCUCAUAUCCACAUGCAUUCUGUCAUGUCUCACUCUUUGAAUGAAUACAAAAACAUUUUGAGAAAAUGGAAAAUGGAGGGCUGGAUUGAAUUUUGUAGAUAUGCAUGUAGGAGACACUGCAUGCAGAUUCCCACAUUCCUGCCUCCGGGUGGUGGCUGUAGGAAGCAACUGCCUUGACAUUUCUGUCUUUCUUUUGUGGAAACCUUAUGCAGCCUUGUUCAAUCACACAAUCACAGAAAAUCACAUUCACUGGUGUUGGAAGGGCCCUCAAGCAAUCAUCAAGUCCAACGCCUCCGCUAAAGCAGAUACCCUACAAUAUGUCUCACAGGUAGCUCUCCAGGCAGGUCUCUAAUGUCUCCAUAGAAGGAGCCUCCACAACCUCCCUGGACAUCUCUGUUCCAAUGCUGUGUCACCUUUGCCAUAAAGAAGUUCUUCUGCAUGUUAGUACGAAGCUUCAUAUGCUCAAGUUCAAGUUUGUUUAUGUAUUACCUCUUGUUUGCAACUCCACAUUCAGCUCCAACUCUAAGGGAAGGAUGACAAGUUCAGUCUAACAUAGCAAACAUAGCAUGGAUUCAGCAACAAGACAACUUGGAUGGGCUUCAGUUGGAUUCACUGAAAACUGAACAGCAAUGCUGUAAGAGGUUGGACUUCUGCUCCAAAAUUUCUGUUUUCCCUCUGGGCAUGUUAGGAUAAGAAUAUUCUGCUCUUUGCAAGAAUUUGGAUGAAUCUCAGUAUAUAGUGCUUUUCUUUACAUGUUCUGUGUUUAGAAAAACCUUUUUAAAAUACUGAAUGUAUAUUAUUAUUGUACGAUGUUAUCUCUACAAUAGGUUUGUACUUUGAACUACUGGUUAGAAAACUUCUUAAAUAACUAUUAAUAAUGAAUCAGCCAGAUUUAGAGUCAAGGGCCAAAUUCUUUUAUUUUGAACUCUGACUAUAUUGACUAAAAAUCAUUUCUAUUUAAAAGAUCCCUGCAGGGACCUUCACUGUGGACUGUUUCUCAAGGCUUGAUUUGCAUAUCACCAAGACCUAUCUUCUCCUAUUUUUCCCCGAGAUGUUAUCUCUGCAAUAUCUUUCUUCUGUACCUCCUGGCAACUUUAUAGACUGCUCUCCUAUGGCAUGCUAAUAUCAUUGCCACUAGCCAAAAGAAUUUGCACAAGACAAAGGUGGAUAAUCCUAGGUUACAGUUUCAUUUGAUAAUCAAUAUGGAGAACAACCUCAGUGUUGAACCUCAUGUAGGUAGUAAAUCCAGCCAUAGUGAAGCAUGUACAUAGUUUGCUCUAGAAGUAAUGCCUCCUAUUUGUUUCCAUGAAAACUACGACAUAUAGAAAUAAUGUUUAAAGAAAAGGUGUGCUUUACGUUACUCCAUGUGGAAAAAUUUCACCUAUUGACAUUCAUCAGUGCUUACUGAACGUUUAGGGAGACUAAGAAGUGAGUAUGAACACAGUGGUGGGUAGUGCAUUUCAACAGUAGCAACAGAAACGGUGGGUCACCUAUGCUGGUGCAGAUUUUUAUGACUAUGGCAUGUAAUUUCUUGUUCAUCACAGUAAAAAUGCAUAUCUCAUGGUGGUGAUUAUGUUGAAAAAUAGUGUUUUGUAGCCGAGAAUCUGCUCUGUCAAAUAGUGUUAUUGUGCUCUUUGUAUCCAUUGUAGUUUCCAUGGAAAUAAGUAGGAGGAAUUACUUUCAGAGCAAGCAAUAUACAUAAAGCACCCCAUUGAAUUCAAUAGGAAUAUUGACAUAAGGAAGGAAUGUAGGGCUAAGCCUUUGAUUCCUGUAGAAUUCUUCUUUAACCAAACAAAAUAUUAUUCUGUGUUUGGAUUAUGUUCAAUUAGAACUUAGAAAUUAUUGUUUGUCUGUGAGAUGCCAUUCACAUGACUAUCUUCUCAUAAGUGAUUUAUACUACAUGCUCUUAGGACUAUGUCAUGUGAAAAGUGAAAUAUUUAGAUAGCCAAAUAUCUGACACAAAAGUAUAUGACAAUCACACACACACAACUGAAAGUCCAAGAAAUCACAUCACCCAAAUUGCUCAUAUCUUUCUCUCUCACUGUUUGUGUUGGUUUCCUUUCAGUAGAUACAACUGCAGAUCUUUGGCCUGUGCCACAUGUCAAAUAAGGAUAAGAACCUUCCCCAUGGAAGUCAGUUUUCAAAUUUAAAUGGAACAGAUAUGUAAAUUUCAACACUUUCCCUACAUAAUAUACGCAUUUGAACUGCCAGAUUGUUCAGGUGUACAUGCAAGGGGUAGGUUGUACAUGCAAGAACCCAUUUAUGCUGAUGAAGAAAAUGAUGUAUGGAAAAUAAAAUACAUUUAAAGCAUGCACUGUGGCAUGUACUGACUUUACCAGAAUAAUUGAGGGAAUUAAUAUUGAAUACCCGAUCUAUGGAGACAAAAAUACUAAAUAGCCUAAUGUCACUGAGAAAGAAGCAGAGAGCAAAGGAUUUCCACAUUUUUUCUCUUACAAAAUUUUGAUGGAUUCUGAUCUUUUUUUUGUGUGUGUGUGCUGUUUUUCUCAAACCCAAUGUGAUGACAGAAAACCUUGAAUGCAGAUUUCUUAUUGUUGUGCAAUUGCUGGGGAAAUUGUAAAUAGCUGGAGUUUAGAUUUGAAAGUAUGUAACUACUCCAUUUCCAUCUGAAUUAACAUGUAAUACCUUUUUUAAUUCUGUAUUUAUCACAGGAAAUAUUUUUUGCUUGAAGUAUGUACUUCUGGGAGUGUGUUCAUUGUCCUGUGUUGUAAUAUCACUUCUGAAAGAAAUAUGUCUUUAAAUAUUAGUGUUCAGUAGGACUGUUCUUAAUCUCUGUUAUUAUAAUAAAUACUGAAUGUCAGACUUUUUCAAAGAUCCAAAUUGGAAAUGUGCUUUUUAUCUCACUAAAAUGAGUGGAAGCUCCACACGUCAUGUACAUUUCAAAGUAGAGAACUGUUAUCCCAAAUAUGCAUUGCAAGGAUAAUUGGAAAGGAUUAAUUUACUUCAUGGGGAUUUGACGGAGAUGAAUGAUCUGUUGUGCUCCCGGGAAAUUGGGAAUUUGGAAUUCUUUACUUUCAGUGGUUGAGAAUUAUCUGUGAAGUUUCUAUGCUUGAGUAGUUUUAAGUGCAUCUGUUCUUGAAGUAAUACAAAACAAAAACUCAGAUUUUCCCUGUCUGGGGUUUAUUCAUGUUACUACAGAUUUUUAAUACGAAAAUUAGAAUAUUGAAAAUAUAUUUUUCCUUUGGUUUUAAUAUUUAUACAGUAGAAAUUCUUGUUAGUGUUAAAAUGGAAUCAUAUAUCCAUUUAUGUUUUUAUAUGCAUAAGUACACCAUAGUUUAGGGUUUGAUGAAAGCCAUCUCAGUAGAAUCAGUCCUUGUUACACUUGUUUUAGAUUUGUGCUGUUUGAGGCAGAGAGAUACAGAUAGAGGAUUUAUUUUUCAGUCCUAGUAGUUAAUCAAGUUCCUGUAACAGUCAUCUAAUCCCAUGGUUUUACCCAAGUCGUUUUCUCCAUGUUACUUCUACCUUUCUUAAGCAAGGCAAGUUUCUGCCUCAACAUUCUACCUUUGACCUAUUUGACCUUGCCUAUUUCCUUUCUGCUGUACAGCGGGUCAAUAACAGUACUGAGCAAGCAAUCCUCUUUCUAGCAUAUUGCCAGCUGUACAGGAGCUGUUGUGAACUCCCUAGAAAAGCUGAGAUGUGGUGUAAUACUUACGUUCACCUGCAAUCAGCAAUUUUAUGGUGCUAUCUCUGAAAAGCAGAGGGGAUUGAGUGGAUGUGCCGUGAAAGAAUUGAUGGAAUAUCCACUUUAAUGCUCUCUUAAGAAGGAAGGAGCGUUCUGCAGAAAUCCAGUCCAGCAUAUAUGCUAACACAACAGCAUUUUGGUUUGUUGGACCUCCUGUGGGGAAGACUGCAAAGUGGUUAUAGUUAUACAGGCUGCUGUAGGCAUCUCUGGGCUAGUCUCCCCUCAACAAAGAGACUGUCUAGAAACAAAACCUCCAGGAGCUGUAUUUAUACAUAUAGCUUCAGGGAGGAAUGUGUUCCAGAGCCUCAUUAACUCACCUCUAAGGUUGCAAGAGUAUCCAAUGGUGUGGGAAUAUCAAUGACACUGGUACUGUGGUCCUCAGUGCUCACUUCCACAGAUGCACAUUAGAAAUCUGAAUUUCUCCCUCCUUCAUAGCUGUAUGUGAAUCUAUUUGAAUGUAGAGAUUAUAUUUCUUGUCAUCUAGUACAGUCAGGCAUACAGUUAGACUCAGUUGCAGACUUGAGAAACAAUGAAAUAAAUUAAUUUUAUAAGGGAUACUAAUUUUAUUAGUCAGUGAAAAAAAAAAAACAAUCAACCUCAACAAAUAAUAGCAGGUACUUAAGAGUAGCUAUAUAGCUAUAAAGUAGCAGUAGGGGUAUGUAAAGAUAGUUUUUUCAUCCAUGAGACAUGAUAAAUCAGUAGGCGAUUUAUGAUGAUAUAAAUCAUGAUAACAAUCAGUGGGAAGAAAUAUUCGAGACAAGAGCCAUGAUGCUUAAUGCUAUCAUCUAUAAUACAUUUGCUCUAUGUUUAGUUGUGCAGGUUAUAAUUGUAUUUAAAGGAUGCCUACAUGUGAACAAGAAUGACAAAAAAAUUCAUCUUGUUACUCCUUUGAACACAGGAGAAUCAGUAGUUAGUAUUGAGGAAAUGUGAGUAACUAUACAGAGAUAUUUUGGUAGUGCAAAGCCUAUGUUCACUCACAAAAGUGGUUUCACAGAGGAUAAGAAAUAGCUCAGAUCCCGUAGUCAGCAACCAAAGUAACCAAGUGCUUGUCAGAUACCAGGCGCUACAGUGCCAUCAGCAAAUCAGGCUAUCUGUUCUUCGGGCAGCUGACUACUGCCUGCUAUUCACAGCUCAGGCUCCAUGUUACUUUGCUCCUGUGUCAGCUGCCAGUCUUCUCCGAGUGAUUCUCCAAGAAACUCCAUUUCUGCAUCUCAAAAUUAUCCCUGUUUGUUGAUACUGCGCAUGACUAAAAUGGUAUUUUCAUAUUUCAGAGCAGUUGAAGCCCCUUAAAGCAGAGGGCUGUGAGUGUGAAAAAGAGAUAUGUUGUUCCCUAAUGGCUUAUUACCAUCUCAUUUGCAAUUCAGAUCAGUUAUAAAUUGACUGAAAUUUUUAAACACAUAGCAGGCAGUUUAAACUAAUGAUUGUCUGGAGGUUCACAUCUGACAUGAACUAAGCUUCUGUUCAAAACAAAUUGCAAAUAAUUCCUCCCUUAGAGUCAAAAUGUCACUUUUUACACAGUGCAUUGUUGCCAGAUUUUGUCAGCUCCAUUAAAAUAAAACCAAAUAAAUAAAUAAAUAAACCCAUCUAGCUAUCCACUGAGUGUUCUGAACAUAGGGUGACCCUGUUAUUAUCCCUUAUUUACAGUAACAGGGCUUUACAUUUACAGGGCUCUGCACAGACUGCUGAAAGGUCCUUUCUCCCUCAAAAGCCCCAACUGUGGCGAAGGCGCUGGGGUCAGUAGCAGGCCUGGGUUGCCUAGCAAUCCCCAGCAGGCUGCCCAUCGCCCUCCAAGCUCGGCGUACCAUCUGAGUCCUUGCCUCAUGCUUGCCCAUGCCUGCUCAAAUAUUUCCACUGAGGCAGCUGUGUAUGGGUGGCUGUGGUGUGCUGGCGGGACUGUGAGUGCUGUGUGGAUGAGGCACACCGGCCUCCCAGCCACAGAGAUGUGGUAAAACAAUGUUAAUCCUUCGUUGUAUAUAGACAACUGCUUGAAGAAGCGAUUCAGAAUUUGGGUUUAAUUCCAUCAGGAUUUUGAAGUCCACACCUCUCAUGAUGAUAGCAGGGGAAGCUCUUCAAAAAUGCCCAAUGGGGUCAUGAGGAACUGUUUAAUGUGUGAUUGAAAUUGGAUUUCCCUUCAAAGAAUAAGCCAUCUAAGGGGGAGUCACUGGAGAAAUCUUGAUGACUUGCAGCUGCUGAUUACUAAUUUUGAAUAGGGUAGUAUUUUGCUAAUUUCUAAAGGGAAUAAGCUUAUGUAGAGGGGAAAAAAAAUAGGUCAGUUCCUUUUGAUGUAAUCCUCAUGUAUUUUUGCUUUCUAGGUGUUGGCCACAGGGAGUUUUUUUUUUCAUGCAAUGUUACUGGGUCAGGUAUCCUGGUUAGAUGUUACUUGAAAGUCUGUGUUACUUGACUGGCUGUCUCGGGCUCAAAAAAAAAGAGGUUGUUUUUUUUCUUUUUCCCCACAAAAUAGCACAAAGAACUCUCUUAUGUACAGCAAACUACUUGUUCGGUUGCUAUUUAUUUAAGUUUUCAUCUUGAACUGUGAACUGAUAUACUUUGUACAGCACUGCAUGUCUCAAAAGUUUAUGCAUAGUGCAUAGCCUUACUUUUUUGUAUUUGAUUACUUUUCUGAUCCCUUAUCCACUGAAAAGUGUUUCUUAACUGUUGCUAAAAUAUUGAGAUGAUGUUGACACCUGCUCAAGGAAAAUUUUAUUGUUGGAGAAAGUAUGGUGAGAUGACACGAUUUUUAACUAUCAAAACAGAAAUUUCACUGAAAACACUGAUUUUCUUUCUGAAAAUUAUGAAUGCAUAAUUAGUUUUAGUCAGUUUGGGAAGAAGUCGUUAAGCAUUACUUGAUUUAGAAUGUCACUGUAUUUGUGAGGAGAGGAAUGCUGAAACCAAGUGAAAGAGACUUUUCUUUGCUAGAUGAGAACAUUCAUGACAAAUUUUCCUACUACAUAAUCACUGCACGUUAAAAAAAGAGCAUAUUUUAAAGAAUCCUUUCCCCAACCCAAUUUGUUUUUUACGGCAGAUGUUGUUUGUUAUUUGUUUGUUUUGUUUUGUUUUAUAUCUGGAAAGUGACGGGAAAUGUGAAAAAGGCAUUUCUUAAGGUAUAUCCCAAGCUUUAUGAUCUUUCUGGGAAUACCUACCUGCUUGUAGCUAGGUUUAGGAAAGAUAUAUGCACGAAACUCUUACAUUUUUCUUACACAAAUGUAUAUACAUUUGUAUAGUUGAAAUGUGACGCACUUUGUACUCUAUGGAAAAAAAACUGGGUCUCAGCUAACUGAUCAUAAUAAUUUAGAUUAACUAACUGUAAAAUGAGUUGCCUCAUUCAAAGAAGCUUUUGAGUGCUGCCUCUUUCUUUGAUAUGUCUAUGAUGUUGAAGGCUGACUUCACAUCCUGUUUGCCCUGGCUACACUUAAAUGUAUAAAAUAGUCUUGCUGAUGUGGUUUAAGGCUAAAACUCCAUCAAAAGCAUCUUUCAUUGCAUGCUGAGUGCUCAGGAGAGCACAUGGUGUUUCUUAGCCAUCUCUCCAAUAUGUGUUGUGUAUGUUCAAGACUAUAGAUCCAUCAAUCUACAGCUUUGCUCUGCUUUUUUUGUCCCCAGUCAGAAUUAUGCUGUGACAAUAGAUAUAUAACAUUACCCUUAAUUUAGGAGGCAAUUCUAGAUAAGUAAUGCUUUGAUACUGCAGGUGAUGUGCAGGAUAUAAAUAAUUACACAAAUACCAUUAGUGUCUCAGAGUAGCAGUGAAACUUUUUUUUAUUUUUAUUUUUUAUGUUUUUGAGUAAUGAUUUGUAUGCUGGAGAGUUGUUUAAGGGACAGAAAAUAUCUUUGCUGAACAAUGCUACUAUCCACCACUGUAUUAAAAAAGCUUCAAGAUUUGCUUUUGUAUGAGCCUGUGUGUGUCAUAUAUUCACAUAAGUCCUACUUUCUUAGAUGGAAUCUCAAGUGAAAAUAAAAAUAAAUGGAUAUCCUAAAGUCAUUGCAAACCAUUUGUGAUGCUUUUACUUUACAUUUUUUCAUGGUGACAUCCAUCAGAGUCUAAUCUCUUAAUAAACUCAGGCUAUACAUUGCAGCUUCUUCCUUCACGUGGCCCUUGAAAGAGAAUUUUCUAAUACCGUGAAGAUGAUAAAGAAAAUAACCUUUUUUAUUUUCUUACUUUAGUGCAAGAGGGACACAGAAGAACAGAUUCCUUGCAAGUAGCACAAAAGCCACUCUAAAGAAUUGUUGAGCUGUUUAUUGCAUUAUCUUUACACAAGAACCUAUGAUCUGUAUUGCAUGGGUCUCAAGAAGAUCCCAUGUGCAUCAAAUAAAUUCAAGUACUUUUUGUGUUAUUAAGUUUUAGUACAUGUGCUGUAGUUACAGGAUACUGGAACAUCCAAAAGGUUCUGAUGUUUUAGUUAGGCUUCAAAAGGCUUGAAGACUUUUUUGAGCUGCAUGAACUAUAGUUGUCUGCGACGUCAGGCUGGAAAUCUCCCAAGAAUGGCUCCUUGGAAAGAUUAUUGUUAUUUCAGUCUUCUAACUAAAGAAAGAGCCUAUUGUAAUGUAUGAUUAUUGGUGUAAUCCUGCAAACCAUUUACAGUGCUUUCAAACUUGAAGUCAGCAAAGGUAGUGCAAUGAAGUAUAUCAAUGUAUUACAGGAAUUAUUACUACCUUAGCAAAAGAGUGAAAAAGAAUGACAGAAUAACUGUAUUAUAUACCACUCUUUUUAUACUCCUGUUUCCUACUUACUUGAAUUAUAAGUAAACAGAGCAGGACCUUGCUGGGCAGGGACAUUUUUUUGUGCCACUGUGGCAGUGGCCUGGUUGAUGACUGUGGGUCUUCGUAUUCUGAUAAUACUGUAAAAACUGCAAUAAGCUUUAUUAACUUAUGAUACAUUUAACACUGAAAUCUGUAGGGAGGUAGUCAGCUUAAUAGUGGAAAAAAAAUCGAUCAAUAAAUAGGAAUAUUUUUACAGUUACUCAUUUUGCACACAAAUUAGUUCCUAAUAAUUGAGUGUACACGUAUGUUAUGUAUUUUGUAUUCUGCAAGCUCCUUUGCAACAUGUGGUGUCUGAUACAAAUGACAUGAGUUUUAUGGCUUCUUUGACAUGUUAGAGUGAGAGCUCAUAGCAUUUCUGAUGACUCACAUUGUCACUCGUGAUUUAAUAAUUGAUCUGUACUCUUGAGUGUAAUGAACCCUGUAAUUUAUUAAAAGACGAAAAGUGUUCCCGUAGUUAGUGUGCUGAUGUUUGACAGGAGAAGUUAAUUUUUGAGGUACUACUGCUAUAAAAUCUUGUUGGUAAAUGCAAUUCAUUUUUAUGCUUGGUGAAGCACUUUUUGAUAGCAGUCUGGAUAAAAUAUGAAUACAUAUUUGCGGUGAACUUGUUCUUGAACAAGUUUUGUCUAGUGUCUCUGCCAUCAUUUUUUAAAUGGUUGUGAAAUACACAAGUCGCCUGUAAAAAUCCAAGACACUUCCUCAGUACUUAUAGUGUGGUUCAGUGUUGGUUGAUAAGAAAUGAACAUUUGUCUCUGUAAGUCUGUUCUUCUUGAGCCAAUGACCAAGUGUUUCUGUGACCAUGAAAUUUCUAUAUCAUCCUUUCACUUAGUUAUCGUUCAUGCUGUGUGUUGGUGAAGAAAUAUAGGAAGGUAUGUAUUGGCCAAUACUGAGACAUAUAACCCUAACAAACAAGAAAAGAACUCUGGGGAGAAGAAGGAGGAAGGGUAGGGAAUGGGAAAAAGAUGGGAAAUGAGAGGAAGGGAAGGGAAAGGAA